UUUAGAAUCUGUCACUUAUUUACCACUCUUCUCCAAGUUACAGGGUAAAAAACACUGAAAUUCAGAGACCAAGGAAGAAGGAGGCUCACGAAGGUCCCGGGACAGGCUGCCCUCUGUAGCAUUCCUCCAUCUGGUGUUUAUGGAGCUACCCAACACUGCUCUUUGUGAGCAACUAUGUUGAAAGAGAGAAAGAGAGAAGAUCCCAAGCAGACUGUCAGCACGGAGCCUGAUGCGGGGCUUGAACUCAUGAACCCUGAGAUCACGACCUGAGCUGAAAUCAAGAGUUGGACGUUUAACCUAGCCCCACCCAGGCGCCCCAGCAAGGCACUGUAUUUACACGAUGAUGUAACCUACACAAUGAGAGAAGAGAACUUCAAGGAAAAGGGAGUUGUCAGCCCUAUCUGCUUUCCUGUUAAGGAGAAUGGAAACACGUAGAUCAAUGGAACGGAAUACAGAACCCAGAAAAGGACCCACAAAUGUACGGCCUACUAAUAAUCUUCAACAAGGCAGGAAAGACCAUUCAGUGGAAAAGAGACAGUCUCUUCAGUAAAUGGUGCUGGGAAAACUGGACAGCGACAAGAAUGAAACUGGAUCACUUUCUUACACCAUACACAAAAAUUAAAUCAAAAUGAAUGAAAGAUCUAGAUAUGAUACAGGAAACCAUCAAAAUCCUACAGGAGAAAACAGGCAGCAACCUCUUUGACCUCGGCCACAGCAACUUCUUACUAGAUGUAUCUCCAGAGGCAAGGGAAAUGAAAGCAAAAAUGAACUACUGGGACCUCAUCAAGAUAAUUCUGCACAGCAAAGGAAACAACCAACAAAACUAAAAGGCAACUGACAGAAUGAGAGAAUAUAUUUGCAAAUGACAUAUCAGAUAAAGAGUUAGUAUCCAAAAUCUAUAAAGAACUUAUCAAACUCAACACCGCCCCCCCCAAAAAAAAUAAUAAUCCAGUGAAGAAAUGGGCAUAAGAUAUAAAUAAAUAGACACUUUUCCAAAGAAGACAUUCAGAUGGCUAACAGACACAUGAAAAGAUGCUCAACAUCAUUCAUCAUCAGGGAAAUACAAAUCAAAACCACAAUGAGAUAUCACCUCACACCUGUCAGAUUGGCUAAAAUUAACAGCUCAGGAAACAACAGAUGUUGGCAAGGAUACCGA